GACGAAGGAUGCAAGCGUUAUCCGGAUUCAUUGGGUUUAAAGGGUGCGUAGGCGGCCUAAUAAGUCAGUGGUGAAAUCUCCUCGCUUAACGAGGAAACUGCCAUUGAUACUGUUGGGCUGAGUACAGAUGCUGUGGGCGGAAUAUGACAUGUAGUGGUGAAAUACAUAGAGAUGUCAUAGAACACCGAUUGCGAAGGCAGCUCACAAAAACUGUAACUGACGCUGAGGCACGAAAGAUGCG
rnacentral:rRNA from 1 species